GACGAACGCUGGCGGCGUGCCUAAUACAUGCAAGUCGAACGCAGUGGGGACGGGUUAGUAACACGUGGGUAACCUCCCAUCAGAGGGGAUAACACUUGGAAACAGGUGCUAAACCGAUACUGAUGGAUGGACCCUCGGUUCAUUCGCUAGUUGGUGAGGUAACGGCUCACCUAGGCGACGAUCCAUAGCCGGUCUGAGAGGAUGAUCAGACACACUGGAACUGAGACACGGUCCAGACUCCUACGGGAGGCAGCAGUGGGGAAUAUUGCACAAUGGGCGCAAGCCGGAUGCAGACAUGCCGCGUGAAUGAAGAAGGCCUUCGGGUUGUAAAGGACUUUCAGCGGAGAGGCGUUACCCACAGAAGAAGCACCGGCUAACUCCGUGCCAGCCGCCGCGGUAAUUC
rnacentral:rRNA from 1 species